rnacentral:lncRNA from 1 species
CAACCAGGUUCUUCAUGAAUGCUUCAACUGGAGACUCCUGAAACCACGAGUCUCCAAUUUCAUGAGUGUCCAACUUUGCCCAACGUGCUGCAUGACUGAGCAGAGGCCUGAAGAAGUGCAUGCAAAGAGCAACGGAGGCCUCAGUGUUGACCCAGACGCAGAAGCGGCUCGGUGAAGUCUGGCUGAUCACCACUCAGCUUCCUCAGUGUCGACGGGGGAGACUCUGCAAAGCCAAUGUUGCCAGGCUGCUCAAACCUUUUGUCUCCAGCAGUCCCACUUCUGCUGUGGGGAGGGCGGCAUUGCUCAACAGCUCAGGUAACACCUUCACCUUCCACGUGCACAGGAAUGAAGUGGCACAGGCUGGUCACUGCAGUACUUCACCAGCAGGGCACAAGAGCUGUCCUGGCAGUGGGGGUGAGAGAGCAGCACAGCGAGCAGGGGCAGGAGCUCCGCUAAGCUCCUGGGCAGCCUGAUCCAGUGUCUGGUCAAUGGAGAGGUGAGGAGAGACCCUCCAUGACUCCAGCAAGGCACCCACUUUGACACUGGCUUUCCCAGCUAACUAACUGGGACAGAAGAGCUCAGGCAUCCCACCUUGUGCUUAGGGUUGUGGAACAGACCUUGCCCUCAGACUGUCAAUUGCUCUGUUCCAUAACCUUUUCCUCCUGUGUCUUCCUCACCUCUGCCAGCUCCUUGUUUUCACUGUCUUCUUCUUGGCAUCCCCAGUUCCUGUCUGUGGUCUCUGCUGUCUUUCUACCUCCCUUCUCAUCAUCUUCUGAUGCUUUCUCACCACCCCUUCCUACCAGCAUCCCUGCAGCUUCCAUGUGCCAGCCCCCAGAUUCUUUCUCUCCUCAUUUCCUACCUCCUACCCUUCUACAUGGCAAUCAGCACGCUCCUCCUCCAGGUAGUCUGACAUCACAUCUAGCCACAACUUGGAGAGAGGCUCACCACAAGUUCUCACAUGUCCAAAGCUCAGUGGAGCAACUGCAGAUAAAGCCUUGCUCAGCGAGGGAUGCCUGGGACAGCACAGGCUCUCCUGCUCCCUGGGACUGUGCACACCACUGCUUUUUGGAGAUAAAGACCUGAUUAGCUCUGGGUAGGUUUUUUGUUUGUUUGUUUUUAUUAUUUUUUUCAAAAGGGUAGCAACAAAUUACAUAUUGACCCCUUUCCAGACAAGUAUCAAGGCCCUCUAAAACGGUCAGUGACAAUAUAGUACAAAAAAAGAAAAAGAAAAAAAGAGAAAGAGAAAAAAAAAAAUAUACAGGGCAAAGCAUUGUCAUUUUCCUGAACUUAUUCUCAGAAACCAAAGAAUCAUUUUAGCCAAAACUUAAAAAUUUAAUUAAUUAAUCAUGCUGAAGCAAGAGACCUAGGAUGGAAAAUUUUAGGCUAAAUACUCAGUGACUGGCAAUGUUACAAGCAACUACAAGGAAAAAAAAAAAUCUGAAUAACACGAAGUGCUGGCUAACUUUACCCAGCGCUGCCCUUGAUAUGCAGAUUCUCAGAAGCGCAAUACCCCUCCUGUCAAAUUUAUCACUGUGGUAAUGCUGGUACCAACUUAGUGAGAGUUUUGCCUGAGUAAAGGCUAAGAAAAAUAUUGAGUAAGGACUUGGGACGUUGCCUGCUAAAAUCAUGGUGCAAAUAAAGUGCAAUGGCACUGCA